rnacentral:rRNA from 1 species
AUUGAACGCUGGCGGCAGGCCUAACACAUGCAAGUCGAGCGGAGCGGCGGACGGGGGAGUAAUGCCUAGGAAUCUGCCUGGGAGUGGGGGAUAACGUCCGGAAACGGGCGCUAAUACCGCUAGCUAUCGGAGCAACCUAGGUCGGAUUAGCUAGGUGGGGGGGUAAAGGCUUACCAAGGCGACGAUCCGUAACUGGUCUGAGAGGAUGAUCAGUCACACUGGAACUGAGACACGGUCCAGACUCCUACGGGAGGCAGCAUUGGGGAAUAUUGGACAAUGGGCGAAAGCCUGAUCCAGCCAUGCCGCGUGGGUGAAGAAGGUCUUCGGAUUGUAAAGCACUUUAAGUUGGGAGGCGUUACCAACAGAAUAAGCACCGGCUAACUACGUGCCAGCAGCCGCGGUAAUAC